UGCCAGACUCCUACGGGAGGCAGCAGUGGGGAAUAUUGCACAAUGGGGGGAACCCUGAUGCAGCGACGCCGCGUGGGUGAAGGAGCACCUCGGUGCGUAAAGCCCUAUCGGCAGGGAAGAAACAGACGGUACCUGACUAAGAAGCCCCGGCUAACUACGUGCCAGCAGCCGCGGUAAUACGUAGGGGGCAAGCGUUAUCCGGAUUCACUGGGUGUAAAGGGAGCGUAGACGGCGACGCAAGUCUGGAGUGAAAGCCCGGGGCCCAACCCCGGGACUGCUCUUGGAACUGCGUGGCUAGAGUGCAGGAGGGGCAGGCGGAAUUCCUGGUGUAGCGGUGAAAUGCGUAGAUAUCAGGAGGAACACCGGUGGCGAAGGCGGCCUGCUGGACUGCAACUGACGUUGAGGCCCGAAAGCGUGGGGAGCAAACAGGAUUAGAUACCCCGGUAC
rnacentral:rRNA from 1 species